AUGGAGAGUUUGAUCCUGGCUCAGGACGAACGCUGGCGGCGUGCUUAACACAUGCAAGUCGAACGGAAAGGCCCUGCUUUUGUGGGGUGCUCGAGUGGCGAACGGGUGAGUAACACGUGAGUAACCUGCCCUUGACUUUGGGAUAACUUCAGGAAACUGGGGCUAAUACCGGAUAGGAGCUCCUGCUGCAUGGUGGGGGUUGGAAAGUUUCGGCGGUUGGGGAUGGACUCGCGGCUUAUCAGCUUGUUGGUGGGGUAGUGGCUUACCAAGGCUUUGACGGGUAGCCGGCCUGAGAGGGUGACCGGCCACACUGGGACUGAGACACGGCCCAGACUCCUACG
rnacentral:rRNA from 1 species